CCUACGGGAGGCAGCAGUGAGGAAUAUUGGUCAAUGGGCGCGAGCCUGAACCAGCCAAGUCGCGUGAGGGAGGACGGCCCUACGGGUUGUAAACCUCUUUUGCCGGGGAGCAAAGGGCGCCACGUGUGGCGUCACUGAGAGUACCCGGAGAAAAAGCAUCGGCUAACUCCGUGCCAGCAGCCGCGGUAGGACGGAGGAUGCGAGCGUUAGCCGGAUUUAUUGGGUUUAAGGGGUGCGUAGGCGGAUCGUUAAGUCAGUGGUCAAAUUGAGGGGCUCAACCCCUUCCCGCCAUUGAAACUGGAGUUCUUGAGUGGAAGAGAAGUAUGCGGAAUGCGUGGUGUAGCGGUGAAAUGCAUAGAUAUCACGCAGAACCCCGAUUGCGAAGGCAGCAUGCCGGCUUCCGACUGACGCUGAAGCACGAAAGCGUGGGGAUCGAACAGGAUUAGAUACCCGAGUAGUC
rnacentral:rRNA from 1 species